rnacentral:rRNA from 1 species
UACGUAGGGCGCAAGCGUUGUCCGGAAUUAUUGGGCGUAAAGAGCUCGUAGGUGGUGUGUCGCGUCUGCCGUGAAAGCCCGGGGCUUAACUCCGGGUCUGCGGUGGAUACGGGCAGACUAGAGGCAGGUAGGGGAGAACGGAAUUCCGGUGUAGCGGUGAAAUGCGUAGAGAAUCGGGAGGAACACCUGUGGCGAAGGCGGCCCCCUGGGCCGGCCCGUGACACUGAGGAGCGAAAGCGUGGGGAGCGAACAGG